rnacentral:rRNA from 1 species
AUUGAACGCUGACGGCAUGCUUUACACAUGCAAGUCGAACGGUAACAGGUUAAGCUGACGAGUGGCGAACGGGUGAGUAAUGCAUCGGAACGUGCCCGGUCGUGGGGGAUAACGCAGCGAAAGCUGCGCUAAUACCGCAUACGAUCUGAGGAUGAAAGCGGGGGACCGUAAGGCCUCGCGCGAUCGGAGCGGCCGAUGUCAGAUUAGGUAGUUGGUGGGGUAAAGGCUCACCAAGCCAACGAUCUGUAGCUGGUCUGAGAGGACGACCAGCCACACUGGGACUGAGACACGGCCCAGACGCCUACGGGAGGCAGCAGUGGGGAAUUUUGGACGAUGGGCGAAAGCCUGAUCCAGCAAUGCCGCGUGCAGGAAGAAGGCCUUCGGGUUGUAAACUGCUUUUGUACGGAGCGAAAAGGUCUCCUCUAAUACAGGGGGCUCAUGACGGUACCGUAUGAAUAAGCACCGGCUAACUACGUGCCAGCAGCCGCCGCCG